rnacentral:rRNA from 1 species
ACUCCUACGGGAGGCAGCAGUGAGGAAUAUUGGACAAUGGGCGGGAGCCUGAUCCAGCCAUGCCGCGUGCAGGAGACUGCCCUAUGGGUUGUAAACUGCUUUUGUACAGGAAGAAACACUCCCUCGUUGAAGGGAGCUUGACGUUACUGUAAGAAUAAGGAAUCGGCUAACUCCCGGUGCCAGCAGCCGCGGUAAUACGGAGGAUCCAAGCGUUAUCCGGAAUCAUUGGGUUUAAAGGGUCCGUAGGUGGAUGAUUAAGUCAGAGGUGAAAUCCUGCAGCUCAACUGUAGAAUUGCCUUUGAUACUGGGUUGUCUUGAAUUAUUGUGAAGUAGGUUAGAAUAUGUGGUGUAGCGGUGAAAAUGCAUAGAUAUCACAUAGAAUACCGAUUGCGAAGGCACGAUUACUAACAAUACAUUGACACUGAUGGACGAAAGCGUGGGGAGCGAACAGGAUUAGAUACCCUGGUAGCUACGAGU